ACAUUCUUGCUGGCCCUGGCAGGGCUGUUCAUGGGCCUGUUAUGACCCCCAUUUGAGGAAUCUUCCUUAUCAGCUGAUGGGGGUUUGGUUGGGUCCCUGGAGGACUCAAAGGCUCAGGUCUAGCAGGCCUAGAUUUAUGCCCUCAUCUGGGUGCCUGGGGGUACCUGGCUCUGAACUGUGGGUCUUCUCUCAGCCCCCGCCCCAGCCUCUGAGCCUCCAGCCCCACUCACUGGGCCUCAGGCAUCCCCUCCAGAAGCCUCUACAAGACACUUAGCACAUACAUAACCCCUUCAUUCCUGAGCAGACAUGAGCUCAUCAGACUACCCAGCCUUUCUCCAUCACAGUGGAAUGUUACUGGCAAAACAAACCUGAAGCACCUCACUCCUCUGAGCCUCGUUACCUCAUUUUACAGAUGAGGAAAUUGAGGCCCAGUGAUAUUCAAUAAUAUGCCAAAACUCAGUGGGGGGCACUUGAGUAUUUGGGGUUUUUUGUUCAUUUGGGAGUUUUUUGAGUGUUGUUAUUUUAACUGUACCUGUAUGUUUUAUACAUACAUUUACAGAAUAUAUUUCAUAAUUUAAAAACCGAACAAAAACUAGCCAAAGUUAUGUGAGUAAGGACUGCAGUCCCUGCUCUCCACCCCUUACUGAGCCAGUCUCCCUGGCAUAGUGGUGCAUGAUGGUGAGAGGACCAUGAGAGGGCACAGAUAACCGCAAGCACACUACACUCCCAUGUGCCAGGCACAGUUCAUUUCAUCAUCCCAGCAGCACUGUGAGUGGGGGCUAUUAUAACCCUGUCUUACCUAAGGUCACACAGCUAGUGAGUGGGGGAGCCGGAAUUUGGACCGCAGCAGGCUGGCUUUAUGGUCUGUGCUCUCAUGGGCUCUGCAGCACACAGGAGGACUGGGGUCACGCCUAUUCGCACUUUAGAGCCAAGAGGUGGGUGUGGUGCUAAAGUCAGACUGCAUGGCUCCUCCCACUGAGGGUGUCAGCACCCCAGCCUGGCCCAAGAUGGCUGCUCUCAUGUCUCCCUGGGCAGCAGGACCCCAUCUGAGGUCACUGUGGUGCCUUAGUUCACCCUGAUGGAUCAUAUACUGUUGUAGGUGACUGCACUGCAGUUCCUGUUCUUGAGAUUUUAACAAAGAAAACCUGGAGAAUUAUGGACUGAGGCCCACAGUUGAAGCCACCAGGGAGGAUGAAGAUUCCUGCAAGAGGGUGCAAGUGUAUUCCUGCUCAAGAGUCUGUCCCUGAGACUGCGAGCUCCCUGAGGACAAAGGGACAGUCUGCAAACACAGAGAAUCAGGAGGCAAGAGUAGCCCAGGAGAAUACUAUGUACCUCAUGAAGGUGCCUACUAAAUGAGUCAUAACACAUUCAAAGUGCUUAGGAGAGUGCCUGGCCUAUACCCUACCAAGCACUGGGUGCUGGAUGUGCAGUGGAGAGCAGGUCACAAUGCCAGCGCUGGAGGCACAGAGGAAGCUGGUGAGUAAACAAGAGGCUGCAGCACAGACAUCAGAAGUAAUCAACACAGGGGCUUGUGCGAAAUCAGAUGAGGGGCACCAAACCAAGCUGGGGAGGCAGGGGCGGGCUGUGAGGGAAGAAGGGACAUCCUCUUCAACAGCUGAAACAUGAGAAUGAGUUAGUCAGGCAAACAACUGGGGGUCAGAAAGGAUCAUUUCCCCUGGAGAAGAGAAAACUCAUGCAAAGGCCCAGAAGGAACCUGUACAAUGCUGACAGUGAAAGUCUCUGAGGCUGGAGUAGGACGGGAGUGAGGUCAUGAGAGAGGUCAGCCUGAGCCAGAUAGUGAACUGUCUUGUCCUGGCUCCUGAGGGUGAUGAGGAGCCACUGAAGGGCUGUAACUAGUGUAUUAGAAAGCUCAUCGUGGCUGUAGCUCGAAGGCACGAAUCUGGAGUGGGAAGAAGAGUGGAGCAGCAAAACUGGUUGGGAGGCAGCUGCAGUAAUAAAGGCAAGAGUUGGUGGUGGCCUGAACAAAGGGAGUCCCAUUAGAGAAGGAGAAAAGGGUUGGGCUGGAGCAAUGGUGCUGGGGAGUGACUGGCUGUGGGGAUGCAGGGGCAGGAAGCCUGUGGUGGCUCCUGAGGUCCUGGCUGAGGUGGUGGCCCUCUCUGAGAUGGGAACACAGAAGGAGGAGCAGGCUUAAUGUAUAAUCAGGUCUUAUUUUCAUAUUUAUUAUAAGAAUUUCUCAAAUUCACAUUGCUUCAUAAAUGUACCAUCACGCGUGUGAGAGUUUUUAUUUUUGUAGAUCAAGGUAGCCCCGAAAACACUUUCUGUGUAGGGAGGGUUUAUUCUGAGGAAUUAAAGUGAAAAUUAGUGCAAGAUACAGCCAAAAAGCACAUUUCACUAAUUUGAAAAGCAAUUUAAUUAAUUAACUCUAUCACACUUUACCUAUCAUUCUCUCAUUCAGUCCUGGUGCUGGCCUCAUAGGAUUUAUAGCUUAGUAAACCAAAAAGAAUAUGAGAUUAAAAAAUAAUGACAUUUUCACAUAAAACAUUACUCUUGCCUCUUUGUUGUUGUUUUUACAAAUGCAUUUCUUUUAUUAUAAAAGUAGUAAUGCCCAUCAAAGGAUAUGUGAAAACCACAAAUAAAACAAAUUAAAUUGUUCACAAUUCAGAAACAGCACAAUGCCUAUUAAUUUUCUCACUCCUUUUCAUCUUUUAAUCUUCCUAAGUACUCUGUUGACAUGACUGAAAACAAUCUAGUAUACACCUUUUAUAUAAUGCUCUUUUCACCUACUGCCAUGAUUAUAGAAUAAUUACCAGCUCCAGAACCAUGAUUUUAAUAACAUAGAGACAAACCAUACUUUAUUUAAUUUGUCUUCUGUCAUUGGGUGUUCAGUUUCUUUCCAACUUUAAAAUUUUGUAUUUCAUUUUUUCAUUCAUAAAUAUGCAUUUGUAUUUCAGUGUU